rnacentral:rRNA from 1 species
UACAUGGGGUGCAAACGUUGCUCGGAAUUAUUGGGCGUAAAGCGCACGUAGGUGGUCUGUUAGGUCAGAUGUGAAAGCCCUCGGCUUAACUGAGGAAGUGCACCUGAAACUGGCAGGCUUGAGUACGAAAGAGGGUCGCGGAAUUCCCGGUGUAGAGGUGAAAUUCGUAGAUAUCGGGAGGAACACCGGUGGCGAAGGCGGCGACCUGGUUCGAUACUGACACUGAGGUGCGAAAGCGUGGGGAGCAAACAGG